UACGAAGGGGGCUAGCGUUGCUCGGAAUCACUGGGCGUAAAGCGCACGUAGGCGGACUUUUAAGUCAGGGGUGAAAUCCUGGAGCUCAACUCCAGAACUGCCUUUGAUACUGGAAGUCUUGAGUUCGAGAGAGGUGAGUGGAACUGCGAGUGUAGAGGUGAAAUUCGUAGAUAUUCGCAAGAACACCAGUGGCGAAGGCGGCUCACUGGCUCGAUACUGACGCUGAGGUGCGAAAGCGUGGGGGAGCAAACAGG
rnacentral:rRNA from 1 species